rnacentral:rRNA from 1 species
CCUACGGGGGGCUGCAGUGAGGAAUAUUGGUCAAUGGGCGAGAGCCUGAACCAGCCAAGUCGCGUGAGGGAGUACUGCCCUAUGGGUUGUAAACCUCUUUUGUCGGGGAGCAAAAGCCGGACGUGUCCGGCUGUGAGAGUACCCGAAGAAACAGCAUCGGCUAACUCCGUGCCAGCAGCCGCGGUAGUACGGAGGAGGCGAGCGUUAUCCGGAUUUAUUGGGUUUAAGGGUUGCGCGGGCGGAUGUUUAAGUCAGCGGGCAAAUCGUGGGGCGCAACCCCAUCCAGCCGUUGAAACUGGGGAUCUAGAGUGUGCGAGAGGUAUGCGGAAUGCGUGGUGUAGCGGUGAAAGGCAUAGAUAGCACGCGGAACCCCGAUGGCGAAGGCAGCAUACCGGUGCACAACUGACGCUCAGGCACGAAAGCGUGGGUAUCGAACAGGAUUAGAUACCCUUGUAGUC